rnacentral:rRNA from 1 species
UUAUAAGAGACAGCAGCAGCCGCGGUAAUACGUAGGUGGCAAGCGUUGUCCGGAAUUAUUGGGCGUAAAGCGCGCGCAGGUGGUUUCUUAAGUCUGAUGUGAAAGCCCCCGGCUCAACCGGGGAGGGUCAUUGGAAACUGGGAAACUUGAGUGCAGAAGAGGAGAGUGGAAUUCCACGUGUAGCGGUGAAAUGCGUAGAGAUGUGGAGGAACACCAGUGGCGAAGGCGACUCUCUGGUCUGUAACUGACGCUGAGGAGCGAAAGCGUGGGGAGCGAACAGGAUUAGAUACCCGGGUAGUCCCUGUCUCUUAUAC